rnacentral:rRNA from 1 species
GACGGGGCCCGCACAAGCGGUGGAGCAUGUGGUUUAAUUCGAUGCAACGCGAAGAACCUUUACCUGGGCUUGACAUCCCGGGAAUUUCCUGGAAACAGGAGAGUGCUUUCAUUAGAGAGAACCUGGAGACAGGUGCUGCAUGGCUGUCGUCAGCUCGUGUCGUGAGAUGUUGGGUUAAGUCCCGCAACGAGCGCAACCCUUGCCUUUAGUUGCCAGCAGUUCGGCUGGGCACUCUAAAGGGACUGCCGGUGUCAAACCGGAGGAAGGUGGGGAUGACGUCAAGUCCUCAUGGCCUUUAUGGCCAGGGCUACACACGUACUACAAUGGCCGGUACAAAGGGCAGCGACAUUGCGAGAUGGAGCGAAUCCCGAAAAGCCGGUCUCAGUCCGGAUUGGAGUCUGCAACUCGACUCCAUGAAGUUGGAAUCGCUAGUAAUCGUGGAUCAGCAUGCCACGGUCGAAUACGUUCCGGGCCUU